rnacentral:rRNA from 1 species
UACAGAGGGGGGCGAGCGUUAUUCGGAAUUAUUUGGGCGUAAAGGGCGCGUAGGCGGCUUUGCAAGUGACGGGUGAAAGCCCUCGGCUUAACCGAGGAACUGCCUGUCAGACUGUGAGGCUUGAGACCGGGGAGAGGUGAGUGGAAUUCCCAGUGUAGCGGUGAAAUGCGUAGAUAUUGGGAGGAACACCAGUGGCGAAAGGCGGCUCACUGGACCGGAACUGACGCUGAGGCGCGAAAAGCGUGGGGAGCGAACAGG